UGGGGAAUAUUGGACAAUGGGGGAAACCCUGAUCCAGCAAUGCCGCGUGAGUGAAGAAGGCCUUAGGGUUGUAAAGCUCUUUCGCCCGCGAAGAUAAUGACGGUAGCGGGAGAAGAAGCCCCGGCUAACUCCGUGCCAGCAGCCGCGGUAAUACGGAGGGGGCUGGCGUUGUUCGGAAUUACUGGGCGUAAAGCGUACGUAGGCGGAUGCGCAAGUUGGGGGUGAAAUCUCGGGGCUUAACCUCGGAAUUGCCCUCAAAACUGCACGUCUUGAGACCGAGAGGGGUAAGGGGAAUUCCUAGUGGAGAGGUGAAAUUCGUAGAUAUUAGGAAGAACACCAGUGGCGAAGGCGCCUUACUGGCUCGGUACUGACGCUGAGGUACGAAAGCGUGGGGAGC
rnacentral:rRNA from 1 species